rnacentral:rRNA from 1 species
CGCGUAGGCGGCCUGAUAAGUAGGGGGUGAAAUCUUGCGGCUCAACCGCAGGGCUGCCUUCUAAACUGUCAGGCUGGAGCACGGUAGAGGCAGAUGGAAUUCCCGGUGUAGCGGUGGAAUGCGUAGAGAUCGGGAAGAACACCAGUGGCGAAGGCGGUCUGCUGGGCCGUUGCUGACGCUGAGGCGCGACAGCGUGGGGAGCAAACAGGAUUAGAUACCCUGGUAGUCCACGCCGUAAACGAUGGGCACUAGGCGUCGGGGGGAGCGACCCUCCCGGUGCCGUCGCUAACGCAGUAAGUGCCCCGCCUGGGGAGUACGGCCGCAAGGCUGAA